GAGGGUAGAGCUCAGGGGCAGAGCACAUGCUUAGCAAGGAAGAGGUCCUGGGUUCAAUCCCCAGCACCUCCA
rnacentral:tRNA from 1 species